UUUACAGUCUCCUGCAAAUGCAGUUUGUUAAUUAACGCGCUGACGCUCUGUCAGAUGAAAAACAGACGGAAGAGAGAUUGAACUUCAACAACUGCAAUCAAAUUAUUUUUCCUGAGGUAUCAAGAGAUGGGAGACAGCGAGGUAGAGAUUAGAGGUGGGGGGGACUGAGCAGUCAUCUGAUAUCUUCCUCUGAACUCACGUGCUUCUUGUCGUUGCUGUCUGGUGGCCAAGCUUUGUAAAGAUUCGAACGUGAUUCGAUCCUCCAAAGAAGUAACGGAUCCGGUGGACCAGCAACGUUCGCAAAGUGGCUCAGACAGUGAAGUGCACAAUUCUGGAAACGCUCGUCGCAGGGUAGAUACCUCCUCUAACCGUCACAGCAGCCGCAGUGCUUUGGAGCGUGAAACCUGCCGUAACAAAUCGAAAAGGAACAGGACUUCCAUCAGACAUCCAACUUCUCCUGAAAACAAAGAGAAAGUACCAGAAAGGGGCCCAUGUGUGCGUUCGGGAGACUGCGGAGAAGGGCUGUGCUGUGUCCGUGAUGGGAGAGGAAAAAGUUGUCAGCGUAUUCCGGUGGAAGGCGAGGCGUGUUUACUGCGAGGGCGUUCAAAGGUGCGCAGAAGAAACCUGGAACGCUGUGACUGCGGACAUGGUUUGGCGUGUCGUGGGAAUGAAAACUCCAGAGGCCUAGGAGUCUGUCGACCUAAGCAGCGAAGGGAAGCCAGACACUCCAAGAGAUUGGCUGAGAGAAAGUGUGGAUGAACUUUACAACUAAACAAUCCACAAUACUUUAGUUUUAGUAAAGUGGACCUUGCAUUAGUUUUGUGGAAACACGCAUAUGUCGCUUAAUGUUUCUUCAGAGGCUUUCGCAAUAAAUUAAGACAGCACUAUGGCGCCAUCUACUGGUGAGAUGCGGGUAUCUUAAGGUGGCGCCCAUUUCCUGGUAAUACAACUGCGCAAUUUUUUAUCACUGCCCUGCCCAGUGUAGAAAGUCAGUAAUGCCCUGUAAUAUUUUCCCCAAGCCAUGACUGCUUUGCACAAUAAAAGACUGGUUCUUUCAUAAGUAAAUUGUCUGUUAUGGUAGAAAAAAAUAAGUAGGCUACAACAUUUUCAAACAACAUUUGAUUAAAUACCAACAAAAUGAAGGCAUUUGUUCCCCUUUAUUUUUUUUUGAUUUAACAAACCGUUGGACUUGAAAAAAAUAAAUGCAAAAGAAACUCUUGAAGGCAAGUCACAGAUGCAACAAGUUUGGACAAGGAA